AGUCGAACCUCUAUUAAGCGGCCACCCUCGGGGAUCUGCUUUGUGGCCGCUUAAUAGAGGUGGCCGCUAAAUAGAGGUACGCAAAUAAUAGACCCUGGGCGUAGUCAAUGCUUUUGAGGUGUAAAGCUUUUGAGGUGUAAAGUGGCAUGUGUUAAAACAUAAUUUUUAAGCCUUAUUUUACAAAUAAAGCAAAUUAGCUCGACUUUUAUUUUCGGCUCUCUUGAUAAGGUGUUGUGCCAAG